AAUAAAAGAGAAUUCAAGUAAUAUAUUAACAUGUACAUAAUUAAGUGGAACCUGACUGAAGCCAUUCUUACCUGUAUUCUGAUUUGGAGUCCUUUUUCUCCUCCCCAUCAAUUAGUUGACUCUCCAAAUUCUUGCCCAUCACAUUGAAGAGAAUUAGCCGUGCAAACUACUCCAUUUGUGACCUUGUCCGCAAGAAUGGCAUUCAUAGCUUCAAAAGAUGAAUUAGAACUAUCCAGCAUUUCUCCCCGAAACGUAAUUACAAAAGAAGCUCUUGGAUUCGAGGUGUUAAGAAGUGAAUCCUUUCUUUCCUGUACGUUGGUGAUGAAGCUGAAUAAAGAAUGAGCUUAAAGACAAGCAAGUUAACUUUUUUUCUUUGGAUUCAGUCAUCAAUCUUAAGCCAGUGUUAAAUGGAGAGUCAUUACCAACCAAAAGAGAUCUGCAUGAUGAACAAUUCGUUUUCUUAUUGAGAGAGAAUGCGAGGUCUGAAGCCUCCCAAUCAAUGGGAAGUAUUUCAACUUUAUUCUCGUCUACAUCAGUCAUCACGUCCUUAAUCUCAAAGGUGGUCAUACAAUGGAAUUUUAAGAGACACUUUACCCUGCUUUUCUUUUCUGCCUCCAAUAUUUCUCUAACACUAAUAUAAUAAUUAGCUCCGCUUAGUUGUCAAUGCAAGUACUCAGCAAGAUCUGCUGCUGCCAAACAAGUAUGCUUAGUUACCAAAAAAGUUUCUUUCGUGAGUCCUCUUUCACCACUAUCUUCCCAAACAGUGAGUAAGUCGGCAAACUCUUUGAGAAAGAACAAACCAGCACGAUUUUCUUUUGUGAUGGGUUUGCAAUAUAUUGUCAUUUUUCCUCAGCACAACUGUUGGUGUUUUUACAUUUAAGAUGUUCCACAUGGUUCGUACAAAUUCAAGAAACUCAACUGUGUCUAUCAACUCAGGUCUUUCAUUGGAGUAAAACUUAAGGGAUCCAAUGGUUGAUUCAUGAAAAAUAGAAUCGACUAACUGCACGUUCGUCUUUUCCAUUGUUGUAGGAUGAAGAGACUUCAGAGUAAGUUUAUGAGCUUGGCUUACUUUGUACGUGGAUUCCUUGUGAUAGAUCUCUCUAAUGUGUCCAAAAUUGGGACGUAAAAACGUUUUGGCACCCAGGAAGUUCAGGGGGGGAUAUUGAAGUAUUCUUGCCGCUGAAAACAGUUAUAGGUAUUUUUGAAAUUGUGCACAGAAUCAAAGAGGAGAGCACAUUGAGAUAAUUAAUUAUGGACGUUUUGCAGAUGACCAGCACAAAGAAGCUGCAAGUAAAAGUUCCUGUUGGCGGGGUGGUUAUCGACAAAUAAGGCUACAACAAUAAAUCCAAUUUGGUGUAGUGAUGAUGACUAUAUAUUGACUAAAGAUGAAUUCGGCAUUUAAAUUUGCCACGGGGAUCAGAAAUACAACAUCCAUGUAUUUUCCCCCAGUAGACUUUAUCAUAAAGGUGAGGACAGUUUUAGUGGUUUUGUUCUCAGUUUGUAGAAACUUGCCUCUCACAAGCUCUACUCUUUGACCAGAGUAGACCUCAUCAAUUAUGAGAGUCACAUUACGUUCUCUUCUGUUGAGGUCCUUUAUUCUGGUACUUAAAUAUUGUAUGGUUGAAACUGACAAUCCUGCCUCCACAGUUACAGCACUUGAAAGGACACUAAGAUGCUGGGGACAUGGAAUUGUGAGAGUAUUUGAUCUAUAAAUUUGGUCGUAGAGGGCAGUACUCUUAUUUUGCCACAAAAGACAAACAGAAAGAAGGCCUGCACUGUACCUCCUCACUUUUGGGUUCUGGAAGAGUAGUGUCAACUGCUCUAUUAAAAAUUCCAACUUUGAUGUUUGGGGUGUCUCCAAGUCUUGAGAUUAUUUCAAUCUAUACAACAAGCUCAUAAUGACUUCACACGUGUCAUAUUGAGUCAAUUGCUCCUUUGAUCCAAAAUAUGCAGCAAUAUUGAUAGCUUCAGUCACGGAAUUGAUCUUAUUCGAUUUUAAUCCAAGACAGUGAGAUACUUUAGUGUUGCUGAUCAUCUGAUGUCCUAGGAAAACUUUGAAGCUUCAAGUUUUACAAGUGACAAUUUGGGUGCUUUUAUAAGAAGAAAUCCUGAUGACUCCAAGGCCUCUUGGCGUUGGUGUUUUAGUUGGAGUCUUUGACUACUAGUGGAAGUUCGAGUUGGCCUUGGUGGUGGUGAUGACAAGGAAAAGUAGUCUGGGGGCUUAAGGAUGGUAUUGCUUAGCUUUGGCCAAACUGAGGGGACAACAUCAUUUUUCAAGCGUUUGCAAGUCAUAAAUUGAUAAAUAAUACAUCAAUUACGAGAAAUUUGGGCUGCUUACCGACUACGAAGUUGCCUUCUAUACUACCGGCCUUUCCCAUGUCGCUUGUCAACGGAAUUAGUAAUGAAGUCUUCCUUUUUAAAAUGAACAUAAGCACAAUCAUCCAGACCAAUAAGCAAUAUAUUGCGGUCCCGGUUCCACUUUGUUGGUUCCUUUUCUAGUGGUUCAAGAAUCGGAACCGCUAAAACAUCUAGAAACAUAAUGACACAAUCUUGAUAAUAAUACGUUCUAGUCAAACACGUCAUACUUUUAACUUCAGGUAUCUUGUCUCCUUGAAAGAGCUUAUGAAUUAUGAUGAAUCUGGUGUGACAUCUAAUGAUCCUAUAUUUCAGUAGCAAGACUUCAAAAUGGUGAGGAAGUCAGAAUUUUUGGUUCUUGUAUUGGAUCCCAUAGCUUGGAAAUGAAUCUGCAGGAUAUUUAUAUAAGAAUGAAGAAAAAAAUAACUUUUUCUCUUCUCUAAGUUUGAACAUGUGGAAUAAAAUCAGGGCCUGGAAUAUAUAUAUAUAUAUAAUACCAAGUGGAAUGCAUCUACUUCGUUUAGUCUUUUUGAAAUGCCUGAAAAUAUCAGAUAUGGAACGCACAUUUUUCGAAUUUCACUAGAAAAAAAAUAUUUUCAAAAUAGAAUCUAUAACCAUUUAGAUUAUUUCAUUUUUUUUAUUUUUGGAUGUCUCUCAAUAGCAUAUAGAUUUGUAAACCAUGGUACAACGAACAUUUCUGGCAGGAAUAUCUCAAUCAUAUUUUCAUACAGGAAAAUUUUCAGCUGGAAUAUAAAGUUUUUGUGAUGGAUAUAGAAGUAUUAUGGAGAAAUAUGAACUUUCAUUGAAAUGGGAGAUGCCGAUCAGGGAAUGUUUAAAUAAAAUGAACAUAACAACCAUAUGCACCGAUAUCGCAGGGGAUGUCAUAUCGUAUAAGUCCCUGAUCAAUCAAAUUGCCUCUAAACGCUUAUCUUCGAUCUUCGGCUCAUAUGUGAAUUUCCAAAUAUCAAUUGUCUCUUUUAUUUUAUCAAUUUCGACGGCCUUCCUAAGAAACUUUUCAAAGUCCUUCUCUUCCGCCCUUCCAAAAUUAUUUAAAAAACGAAAUAUAUCCCAACGAAGCCCAGCAGAAUGUAUGAAUUCUAUGCGAAUUAAAUUCCUAACUUUUCCAUAAAAAUCGUUUAAAUAUCGUUUCCUAACAGGAACACUUGAUUUAGCUAACCAGUUUUUUAAAGACGAAAGAAAUUUAUGCUUUUUUAUGCAAAGAAAUACCUGAAACGACAAAUCACAUCAUGAGCGAAUACUUCCAACGAUAUUUGACCUACAUAAGUAUUAUACAACUCAUUGAAGAGCGGCAUGGUAAGAAACUUUGAAGGAUCGACUUUCUGAUAACCAGUAAAUACGCUAAAAUUGACACCAUAACCACCAAACCAGAGUAUAUUUUAUAUAAGCUAAGGACUAUAGAAGACAAUUAUAUAAAUGGAAUAAUUUCUAUUUUAACUUUGUACUCGAGUACUUUAAAUUGCAUUUAAUUUGAAAUUUUAAUUUAAUAUCGCUUAUAACUUUCUACCUGAUAUGUUUU
rnacentral:lncRNA from 1 species